rnacentral:rRNA from 1 species
GACGAACGCUGGCGGCGCGCUUAACACAUGCAAGUCGAACGGUAAGGCCCCUUCGGGGGUACACGAGUGGCGAACGGGUGAGUAACACGUGAGCAACCUGCCCUUGACUCUGGGAUAACAGUUGGAAACAGCUGCUAAUACCGGAUACGACCUUUGAUGACAUCAUCCGGAGGUGGAAAGCGCUUUAGCGGUCAAGGAUGGACUCGCGGCCUAUCAGCUUGUUGGUGAGGUAACGGCUCACCAAGGCUUCNACGGGUAGCCGGCCUGANAGGGCGACCGGCCACACUGGGACUGANAUACGGCCCAGACUCCUACGGGAGGCAGCAGUGGGGAAUAUCGCACAAUGGGCGCAAGCCUGAUGCAGCAACGCCGCGUGCGGGAUGACGGCCUUCGGGUUGUAAACCGCUUUCAGUUCCGACGAAGCGCAAGUGACGGUAGGAACAGAAGAAGGACCGGCCAACUACGUGCCAGCAGCCGCGGUGAUACGUAGGGUCCGAGCGUUGUCCGGAAUUAUUGGGCGUAAAGGGCUUGUAGGCGGUUUGUUACGUCGGAAGUGAAAACUCAGGGCUUAACCAUGAGCCGGCUUCCGAUACGGGCAAACUAGAGGAAUGCAGGGGAGAAUGGAAUUCCUGGUGGAGCGGUGGAAUGCGCAGAUAUCAGGAGGAACACCGGUGGCGAAGGCGGUUCUCUGGGCAUUUCCUGACGCUGAGAAGCGAAAGCGUGGGGAGCAAACAGGCUUAGAUACCCUGGUAGUCCACGCCGUAAACGGUGGGCACUAGGUGUGGGGAACAUUCCACGUUCUCCGUGCCGAAGCUAACGCAUUAAGUGCCCCGCCUGGGGAGUACGGCCGCAAGGCUAAAACUCAAAGGAAUUGACGGGGGCCCGCACAAGCGGCGGAGCAUGCGGAUUAAUUCGAUGCAACGCGAAGAACCUUACCUGGGUUUGACAUAUACCGGAAAGCUGCAGAGAUGUAGCCCCCGCAAGGUCGGUAUACAGGUGGUGCAUGGCUGUCGUCAGCUCGUGUCGUGAGAUGUAGGGUUAAGUCCCGCAACGAGCGCAACCCUCGUCCUAUGUUGCCAGCGGAUAAUGCCGGGGACUCAUAGGAG